UACGGAGGAUGCGAGCGUUAUCCGGAUUUAUUGGGUUUAAAGGGUGCGCAGGCGGGAUUUUAAGUCAGCGGUGAAAUUUUCAGGCUCAACCUGAACACUGCCGUUGAAACUGGGAUUCUUGAGUAUGGAUGAAGUAGGCGGAAUUCGUUGUGUAGCGGUGACAUGCUUAGAUAUAACGAGGAACUCCGAUUGCGUAGGCAGCUUACUAAGCCAUAACUGACGCUCAAGCACGAAAGCGUGGGGAUCAAACAGG
rnacentral:rRNA from 4 species